rnacentral:rRNA from 1 species
UACGUAGGGUGCGAGCGUUAAUCGGAAUUACUGGGCGUAAAGCGUGCGUAGGCGGUCCGCGAAGUCUGAUGUGAAAGCCCCGGGCUCAACCUGGGAACUGCAUUGGAAACUAGCGGGCUCGAGUGUGGCAGAGGGGGGUGGAAUUCCACGUGUAGCAGUGAAAUGCGUAGAGAUGUGGAGGAACACCGAUGGCGAAGGCAGCCCCCUGGGCUAACACUGACGCUCAGGCACGAAAGCGUGGGGAGCAAACAGG